GUGCAGCAUCACGACGCAGAUGCUCCAGUGCCUCGUCGGCCGAGUAUCCGACGACGACGCCGCGUGGCCGCUUGCAGGCGCGCAUGGCGCCGACCUUUGUCGUCGUACGCGCCCACGCGGUUGAUGGGGUCUCUUUCUUUUUUUCCCGCCCUUUGGUCUCUUUGUCUCUGCGUGGCGGCGGUGUCUGGUGGUCGACGAGAGGGCGUCGUCCAAGAGGAGGCGGUGGCGGCGUCCAAAAGAGGUCGAGCCAAAGGAUGACGACAGUGCACACGCAGCGGCGAGUUGCGGCGCGCGCGCGCGUCCCCGAGAAUAAAAAAAGAAUUUACCGAAA
rnacentral:lncRNA from 1 species